UGCAAGAACAAUAGAAAGUGAAUAAUAAAUUUCAUGAAAAUUAGUAUGUGAAGCAGAGGUGAACUGGAAAGUACAAGCAGCUCUGAGUUCACUGGGAGAUAACAGGAGUUCCCCUUUCUCCAUCAAUACCUGCCAUGAUGACACACCUGGAAUCACAAGUGUAAUCCACGACUAUGAGAGCACAGUAGUUUCUCCAUUUGCACCUAUCUCAGCUGCAGAUCUUCUGUGCACAAAAAAUAUUUUCAUCACUUUGACUAUGUCUAUAUUCCAGUGGGUAGCGAUCCUCAGACAUUCUGAUCACAUUGUUCCUUACAGACGGCAGUUGUUACCGUGACUGGUAAGUUGUUAUUUCUCUGGACAUGCUCAGACCUGAAGGGCCCUGCAUGCUCCCAUGGCUUCUAUCUAUGAGGCAGGCAGAAAUAAUUUUGAGGACAGUAUCAACAAGCACUGAAGAUGUAACAUUUUUCCUCUCUAUCACAAAUGAAGUCACACUAUCUGAGCAUGCUGUGACAUAAUUAGCAUUUCUGAAAGCAAGUCCACUUAUUCUGGCAUGCAGAUGUGGCUGAGUUGUUUCUGUCUAAAUGAAACAGUUUGUUUUAAAAAUAUCCAAUUCAAGCCAUGAUAUAAUCAUGAGUAAAGGAUAUUCCAAACUGAAUUUGGCAAGUUAUGAGCAACUCAGUCUGGCUUUGAAGCUGGCCAUGCUUGUAGAAGAGGUCUGAACUAGGUAAGAUCCGGAAGUUCCUUCCAAACAAAAUUAUUAUGUGAAGUGUAGCAAAUAUUCCCUCACUCAGCAUUAAUAACUCUGAAGCCCUGUUAUGAUCAUUUCAGUGACAAAAUAGUUAAUGUUUUGCUGUGAAGCUUUCAGUAAAGUUCUCUAGCUAAUUACCCUAUUAUAACAACCGUUACAUUUACUGAUAUGAACCGCAGUUUGUUUCCAUGGUAAGGCAGAAUAUCAAGCAGAAUACAUACAUGGCCCUAACAAGCAGGAUUAAAGAAACAUUGAUAUGACCUGGUCAUCAAUUUAGCGAUAGCCUGGAAAACAAGUAAUUUUUACUUAAUGAGGUAAGAAUGAGCUGGAGGAGGAGUUAUGCAGCUUCCCCUGGGAAGAGGGCUUGGUUGCAUCUGAUUUUCUGGUAAUGUUAUUUAUUCAAUGACAUUAUAAUUGUCUACUUUGCAGGCUUCACUGCAUGCUGUCACACUUAUACGUGAAUCUUGGACAGCUUUCUCAGAAGCUCUUUGUGGUAAUUUCCCACAGAAAAAGGAGUGAUACAGAGAAUAUCACUGCUUGGUAGACAGUAAUAGGCACAUCAUCAAUACUCAGAAAUGGAGAUAAUGGGAACCAAUUGGUCUUUCCGUCACUCACAGAGGUGGUGUGCUGACUUCAUCAGAAGUCAAUUUGCCUUUAUUCAAAGGAAUAUUCACACAUGAACUUCCUGCUCAGCUAACGUUAAUGCCAGUGUGAGGAGACAUUUGAAAAAAUAAUUGAAACGUCACAGAGAGAAUAAAAUCAGGGCCUUGACAGGUGCACCACUGAGGUGUUCAGGUUCUGUUUUGUUCAUUUUGUGAGGUGCCAAGCAAAGGCACUGCCUUCAGGCUGAUGUCAAGGGAACAUUAGGAUGUGCGGCACACUCGUGCCAACAUUUCCUCCGGCACUCCGCAAUCAAAAGGGGCUGAAGGGAUCCCCGAGAUCAGCAGCAGAACGCUCCACCACCAGAGAGGUUUUCCCGCCUUUGAGGGCGUGUGCUGCUCCUCCUCAGCCCUCUGAGGGCUAGGGGUGCACGGGGUGGGGCGAGGCAGGGCCCCUCACAGGUACCUGCUGCACUGCCUUCUCUCUGUGCUUCUGACAAGCAAAAGGCCUUGCCUUGAGCUUGCUGCGCUCCGGAGCCUGUGAGAGGAUCUCACUUCGACGCAGGCACUGGCUGUUAGCAAACUGCAGGACAGAAAGGCAAACGGCCACUGCAAGCUGGUGGACACCAUUGGCUGGGAUUGCAGCAGUUGGUACUGCCGUCUUCUCGCGUUGUGGAGAGACCUCUGCAAAAUCGAGUGUUUGAACUGUCAGAGGGUCUUCCAAGAGUGAGCAAUGAAGUAAGAUCCAUCUUGCAAUUGCAUCUUUAAGAUUCUAAAUAAAUGAAUCACAGCCAUGAAGAAAAUCAAUGUGGUGAAUCUUGAAAAACUUUUAGAUAACUUCUCAGAGAUAGAAAAG